UCCGCCUGGGGAGUACGACCGCAAGGUUGAAACUCAAAGGAAUUGACGGGGGCCCGCACAAGCGGUGGAGCAUGUGGUUUAAUUCGAAGCAACGCGAAGAACCUUACCAGGUCUUGACAUCCUUUGACCACUCUAGAGAUAGAGCUUCCCCUUCGGGGGCAAAGUGACAGGUGGUGCAUGGUUGUCGUCAGCUCGUGUCGUGAGAUGUUGGGUUAAGUCCCGCAACGAGCGCAACCCUUAUUGUUAGUUGCCAUCAUUCAGUUGGGCACUCUAGCAAGACUGCCGGUGACAAACCGGAGGAAGGUGGGGAUGACGUCAAAUCAUCAUGCCCCUUAUGACCUGGGCUACACACGUGCUACAAUGGGAAGUACAACGAGUUGCGAAGUCGCGAGGCUAAGCUAAUCUCUUAAAGCUUCUCUCAGUUCGGAUUGCAGGCUGCAACUCGCCUGCAUGAAGCCGGAAUCGCUAGUAAUCGCGGAUCAGCACGCCGCGGUGAAUACGUUCCCGGGCCUUGUACACACCGCCCGUCACACCACGAGAGUUUGUAACACCCGAAGUCGGUGAGGUAACCUUUUUGGAGCCAGCCGCCUAAGGUGGGAUAGAUGAUAGGGGUGAAGUC
rnacentral:rRNA from 1 species